UACGAAGGGGGCUAGCGUUGUUCGGAAUUACUGGGCGUAAAGCGCGCGCAGGCGGUUUCUCAAGUCAGUGGUGAAAGCCCGGAGCUCAACUCCGGAACUGCCAUUGAAACUGUGAAACUUGAGGACGAGAGAGGUGAGUGGAAUUCCCAGUGUAGAGGUGAAAUUCGUAGAUAUUGGGAAGAACACCGGUGGCGAAGGCGGCUCACUGGCUCGUUUCUGACGCUGAUGCACGAAAGCUAGGGGAGCAAACAGG
rnacentral:rRNA from 1 species